rnacentral:lncRNA from 1 species
GAGAUCAGCCUCGCAGGCGAUGAGGUGCUCAGCGCACUCGUAAUGACCAGUCCUCACCGCCACAUGCAGCGCUGUGCUGAGAAGCUUAAAAAAUCAGAAAAUGGUGGAAGGAGUGAGAACAGACACUGUCCGAGACCUCAAGGCAUGUGCAAAGUGGGUGUGUGGCUGAGGUGUUCACAGAAUAAGGACUAGCAGAGGACCUCCGUGGACGGAUAGGACUCUCAAGGAAACAGAAGCCUACGGAAGGACUGGGAAAUACCUUGUCUCUGGCACUGAUUUUGGCUCCUUUGUUCAGCAACAGUUUCAGGACAUCUGCGUUUCCUCCACGACAUGCCCAGUGGAUGGCUGUGGAUUCAAGCUAUUUGGGAAAGGAAAAACACAAGCAAGAUGUAGCAACAGCUGGAGAAACUUUUAGGUGGAAGACAUUGAGACUGUAUUUGCCAGCCUCCAGGAAGGCACGGCACAGGCUUGCUUACCUCAUCGCAGACGUCGGGGCUGUUCUUGUCUGACAGGAAUUUCUCUACAACUGGCAGUUUGUUCUCCAGCGCAGCUUUCAGAAACCUCGGCACAUCCACAGGUUCAGUCUAAAGUGAGGGAAGAGGAGGGCAGGAGGAGACAGACAGAGGAGGAGAAGGAAGAGGAAGAGGCAAAGGGAAGGGAGAGGAAAAGACAAGACAGGAGAAGAAGGGAGAGGAUGCUCAUAAAGAGUAGAGGAGAAAGUGGGAAAGAACAAAGAAGAAAGAAAUUGAGGAGAAAGGAGAGAAAAGGGAAAGAAAUCGAAAGUGGCCAUGAGUUUUGCUGCCGUCGUCCCUCCACAGGACUCACCCCUGCAACUUAUAAGGAUGUGCAAUAACCAAACAGUCCUUACCAUAAUUUCAGGUUCUGGCUCCUUCACAACUGGAACUUUGGUUUUCUUGUAUUUUUUCCUUUUCUUCAGUUGAACAAUUAUUUCAAGGUCUUCUAAGUUUUCAAGCUUUGAUCUUUGUUCUAGUUUUUUCUUUUUGAGCUAACGAAAGGGGGGAAAAAUCAAGUGUUGAAAAAUAUAUAGUGAGUUCUAACUAUUGUGGUACCUGAACAAACCCUGCACAGCCUGAGCAAACUGUGAGUGGGCUGAGAAUGGGAAAUCCAAAGCACUUUCAAGUGAGUGUCUGACUUCAGGGAUUUUAUUUUCAUUAAAGUAUUUGGGGUCUAAUUUUAAUCUAAGUCAUAUUUACUUCCUUUGCUUGUAGAACUAGUCCUUGACUAAUUGGUUAGAGGCACGACAUAGUCUCUCAGUAAUCAUUUUGUAAUUAGUACCAUAAAGCCCAGAUUUCUAUAGAAUUUGUUUUCUCAUUCUCAAAAACUAACAUAUGUUUUAACCAAGGGUAGAAAAUACAGAUAAAUUCACAAAUACUGAUGCCAUUCUCCUUCACGAGUCUCUGAAACGGAGAUUACUGCUGCACUUCUAAAUUUGUGUUAGUAAUCUACAAAAAUUCAAUAAAUAAAUUUCAAUAAA